rnacentral:lncRNA from 1 species
GCAGUCGACUUGCGCCAGCCCAGAGGCUGGGGAGGCGUCCGAGCCUCCGUCCCGCCUCGUCGUUGAAGAAGGUUAAGGACAAGCGCCAGCUCACCUGCGCUGGGGCAGGGAAGGGCAGAGUGGCCGAGCCCGGGAGGGCGCGACAGGGGCGAGGCGACCCCAGUCCAGAGGCUGACUUCCUCACCGCCCUGGGUCCCAAUCCUGAUCUGGGCUACCCUAUCUGUGCUUCUGGUGAGGUGGGCCCAGAACCAUCGUGUGAAUAAUGAUUGACCUCAGCUAGUGGUUCUCAUGGAGUGAUUGAUUUUGCUUCCCAGAGGACAUCAGCAAUGUCUGGAGACAUUUCCAGUUGUCACUACUUGAGAGGAAGCGUGAUCGGCCUCUAGAAGGGAGAGACCAGGGAUGCCGCUGCUCAAUAUCCUAUAAUGCACAGAACAGCUUCUACGACA